GAAGGGUUGCAGUUCAUAUUUUUAUAACAGAAGAAGAUGGAGGCAGGUGUUCCAAGGGAGAUGGACGCGAGGGAUUAUGGAACUGUUACGGGGAAGAUGGAAGGAGGCAAUUCUGAAAUCCAACAUCUGGAGAAGGAAACAUAGAUUUUCAUAAACUUUGUGGCCAAUAAUCAAGAGUAUCCCACUAAAAACAUUUCCACUUCCUUUUAAAUCUAACCACCACUCUAUG
rnacentral:lncRNA from 1 species